AAAGGAUUAGUUAAUUAUAUAACACCAGAAUGUCAAACUGAAGUAAUCAACGAUGAUAUCCUUUU
rnacentral:tRNA from 1 species